rnacentral:rRNA from 1 species
CCUACGGGAGGCAGCAGUGGGGAAUCUUGCGCAAUGGGCGAAAGCCUGACGCAGCCAUGCCGCGUGAAUGAUGAAGGUCUUAGGAUUGUAAAAAUUCUUUCACCGGGGACGAUAAUGACGGUACCCGGAGAAGAAGCCCCGGCUAACUUCGUGCCAGCAGCCGCGGUAAUACGAAGGGGGCUAGCGUUGCUCGGAAUUACUGGGCGUAAAGGGAGCGUAGGCGGAUAGUUUAGUCAGAGGUGAAAGCCCAGGGCUCAACCUUGGAAUUGCCUUUGAUACUGGCUAUCUUGAGUGUGGGAGAGGUUAGCGGAACUCCGAGUGUAGAGGUGAAAUUCGUAGAUAUUCGGAAGAACACCAGUGGCGAAGGCGGCUAACUGGCCCAUUACUGACGCUGAGGCUCGAAAGCGUGGGGAGCAAACAGGAUUAGAUACCCUGGUAGUCCACGCCGUAAACGAUGAGUGCUAGUUGUCGGCAUGCAUGCAUGUCGGUGACGCAGCUACGACAUUAAGUACACCUCCGCCGUCGGGGAGGUACGGUCGGCGAAGAAUUAAAACUAACGAAAGGAAAGUUAGACGGCGUGAGACGUCGCCGAACGGACGACGACGAGGGAGGUUAGG